UUCAGUCGAGACGUGGUGUAUCAAAUAAAUGCGGGUGAAGUUCUGUUCAAACUUUAACUUGUCUCCGUUUCUUAUUUUAUUAUAUACAUGUGUUUACGCAAACCUGAUAUGAAUGCUCGGUUACAUUUCCUAUGUCAAAACAAAGUUCUCAUCCCGAAGGAGUAAAAACAACAGAAAAAAGAAAUGCAGACGUGAAAGAAACGAUGUACGUUGUACGUCAUCACGUACAAUUUCAAAUCUUUGUCAAGACUGCCAUGCGUGAGAGAGAGCACCAAACUGAAAGAGGAAACUGGAAGAUGUAAGAUGUUAGUUUAUUUAGUCAUAUUUGAAGAUAUGAAGGAAUAAUUGACUGUAGAAUUACUGAAAAUGAAUGCACAUUCGAGGUGUUCAUCCGGACGUGAAGCGCAGCAACCGUUACACCAGAGAUGCGGGCAUGAUAGAGAUAUGCCGAGUAAAAAUGUUAAACAUUUGUGAAGGCAAAACCGCGAGAAAUGGACGCCGUUGGGAACCUGUAACUACUUCUCAGUUUUGAAUCCUGACUCCACUUCAAAGCUCAAGGAGAACUGGGUGCCUGUGUUUAAGGACAAGAUCCUGCACUUUGCCAACAGAGAGAAGUGGCUCCUCAUCUGCUUUCAAAUGUGGAAACUAUGACAGCAGGAACCAGGAAAGCCUUCAUUGACAUGCAGCCUGUUGGUACCAGUGGCGGAUUUCCUGCACAGUGCAAAAGAUGCAAUUUUUCCAUACACACCGAUGCUUGGAGAAAACUGUCAGUGCUUUAAAGCAUUUGUUGUCAUUCACUGAGAAGCGCUUCAACAAAAUACAUUGCGGGUCACAGUGGACAUUUGCUUCAAAGCAUUCUACGUCUUAAAUAUUAAUUACCCCAAAUAGCAAAUUUAAAUUAAUUUCUACUGGCUGGAAACUUGUUUACCCAAACUGAAAAUACAUUUCUAAAUUUUUAUUUGUUAUUGUAGUCUGCCUGCCUCUCACUCGCUGUGUGGUUGUGGUAAAGUGAUUUUGAUUACCAAGAAUUCGGUUUUAAAUUUUUAACCCAGUUUGCUUAUAAUUUAACCCAGCAAAGGAACUGACGACAACAGUCCAAAAGUUGGGAUAGUCAUUAAGGGGAGCAGAGGUUUAUACUGAUAUACUUAUACUGUUUCAGAUGUAAAAACAAAUGUACCUUUAGGUUUUCUUGCAUAUAUAUAUAUAU